GUUUGUGUGGCAGAGCCUGGAAAUUGCAAAAGAUCUAAGACCUUUUAGUCAGAGGUUCAAACCCUCUCACAAACA
rnacentral:tRNA from 1 species